CCUACGGGAGGCAGCAGUGAGGAAUAUUGGUCAAUGGACGCAAGUCUGAACCAGCCAUGCCGCGUGCAGGAAGACGGCUCUAUGAGUUGUAAACUGCUUUUGUACGAGGGUAAACGCAGAUACGCGUAUCUGUCUGAAAGUAUCGUACGAAUAAGGAUCGGCUAACUCCGUGCCAGCAGCCGCGGUAAUACGGAGGAUCCAAGCGUUAUCCGGAUUUAUUGGGUUUAAAGGGUGCGUAGGCGGUCGGAUAAGUUAGAGGUGAAAUCCCGAGGCUCAACUUCGGAAUUGCCUCUGAUACUGUUAGGCUAGAGAGUAGUUGCGGUAGGCGGAAUGUAUGGUGUAGCGGUGAAAUGCUUAGAGAUCAUACAGAACACCGAUUGCGAAGGCAGCUUACCAAGCUACGUCUGACGUUGAGGCACGAAAGCGUGGGGAGCAAACAGGAUUAGAUACCCCUGUAGUC
rnacentral:rRNA from 1 species